rnacentral:rRNA from 1 species
GGUAUGUUCUUGAACUUAAAGAAUUUGGCGGUAUCUUAUUCCGUUCAGAGGAAUCUGUCUCGUUAUCGAUAGUCCGCGUUGGACCUUACUUGGUUGCUAUGGUUUGUAUACCGCCGUUUAUUGAUUAUGCUUUUAGGGGUUAUAAUUUUCUGGUUUCUUUAUUUUGAUUUAUUUCAGGUCAAGGUGCAGCUUGUUUCUAAGUGUUAAUGAUGGAUUACAUUGGUUUUUGUUGUUUGGAUUGCUGGUUGAAUUAUUGGCAUGAAAUUGGAUUUGAUUGUAAUGUCUUGGAGAUUGUUUUCGUGAUAUUGGUUCUAAGAUAUGCACACAUCGCCCGUCGCU